AGAGUUUGAUCCUGGCUCAGGAUGAACGCUAGCUACAGGCUUAACACAUGCAAGUCGAGGGGAAACGAUAUUGGAAGCUUGCUUCUGAUGGGCGUCGACCGGCGCACGGGUGAGUAACGCGUAUCCAACCUGCCCAUCACUUGGGGAUAACCUUGCGAAAGUAAGACUAAUACCCAAUGAUAUCUCAAGAAGACAUCUGAAUGAGAUUAAAGAUUUAUCGGUGAUGGAUGGGGAUGCGUCUGAUUAGCUUGUUGGCGGGGUAACGGCCCACCAAGGCUACGAUCAGUAGGGGUUCUGAGAGGAAGGUCCCCCACAUUGGAACUGAGACACGGUCCAAACUCCUACGGGAGGCAGCAGUGAGGAAUAUUGGUCAAUGGGCGAGAGCCUGAACCAGCCAAGUAGCGUGCAGGAUGACGGCCCUAUGGGUUGUAAACUGCUUUUAUAAGGGAAUAAAGUGAGCCUCGUGAGGCUUUUUGCAUGUACCUUAUGAAUAAGGACCGGCUAAUUCCGUGCCAGCAGCCGCGGUAAUACGGAAGGUCCGGGCGUUAUCCGGAUUUAUUGGGUUUAAAGGGAGCGUGGGCCGGAGAUUAAGCGUGUUGUGAAAUGUAGAUGCUCAACAUCUGCACUGCAGCGCGAACUGGUUUCCUUGAGUACGCACAAAGUGGGCGGAAUUCGUGGUGUAGCGGUGAAAUGCUUAGAUAUCACGAAGAACUCCGAUUGCGAAGGCAGCUCACUGGAGCGCAACUGACGCUGAAGCUCGAAAGUGCGGGUAUCGAACAGGAUUAGAUACCCUGGUAGUCCGCACGGUAAACGAUGGAUGCCC
rnacentral:rRNA from 1 species